AAAUUAUCAACCAUGACUUGGGUUUAGGCCCUCGUCCUUGGCUUGGAUUUGGGUGCUUGCGGCCUUGCGCUGCUCACCUUAAAAGGAUUAGCUGGACAUGUCGUGAGACUUGGUUCUACUUGGCGUAAUAAGUAUUUCGCUGAGGACAUCCCUUCUGGGGUGGCCAGGGCUCUGACAAACGUCUGCUUUCUAACCCGACUGUCCUCGGACAUCACUUUUUUAUG
rnacentral:misc_RNA from 1 species